ACACUGCUGAUGAAUCCCAAACAGGACGAAACAGUUGUCCAGUGC
rnacentral:hammerhead_ribozyme from 1 species